UACGUAGGGUGCAAGCGUUGUCCGGAAUUAUUGGGCGUAAAGAGCUCGUAGGCGGUCUGUCACGUCGGCUGUGAAAACCCGAGGCUCAACCUCGGGCCUGCAGUCGAUACGGGCAGACUAGAGUUCGGUAGGGGAGACUGGAAUUCCUGGUGUAGCGGUGAAAUGCGCAGAUAUCAGGAGGAACACCGGGUGGCGAAGGCGGGUCUCUGGGCCGAAACUGACGCUGGAGGAGCGAAAGCGUGGGGAGCGAACAGG
rnacentral:rRNA from 1 species